rnacentral:rRNA from 1 species
UACGUAGGCAGCAAGCGUUGUUCGGAGUUACUGGGCGUAAAGGGUGUGUAGGCGGUUGGAUAAGUGUGGUGUGAAAUCUCCCGGCUUAACUGGGAGGGUGCGCUACAAACUGUCUGACUAGAGUGUGGGAUGGGAGAGUGGAAUUCCUGGUGUAGCGGUGAAAUGGCGUAGAUAUCAGGAGGAACACCGGUGGUGUAGACGGCUCGUCUGGACCAUAACUGACGCUGAGACACGAAAGCGUGGGUAGCAAACAGG